rnacentral:rRNA from 1 species
UACGGGGGGGGGCAAGCGUUGUUCGGAAUUACUGGGCGUAAAGGGCUCGUAGGCGGCCAACUAAGUCAGACGUGAAAUCCCUCGGCUUAACCGGGGAACUGCGUCUGAUACUGGAUGGCUUGAGAUUGGGAGAGGGAUGCGGAAUUCCAGGUGUAGCGGUGAAAUGCGUAGAUAUCUGGAGGAACACCGGUGGCGAAGGCGGGUCUCUGGGCCGAAACUGACGCUGAGGAGCGAAAGCGUGGGGAGCAAACAGG